GGGGGUAAAAAAAACCCAAAGAAAAAAAGAAAAAAAGGAAAAACUAUCAACUGGGCAGCUGCACUUGUUAAACAGGGAUAGGAAAGGAGUUCUUAAAGGUGGACUUUUAGGUAACGUUUUCAUUAGGUUUUGGCUUGUUCUAGAAUCUAAUAGAUUUGACCACCAUGGACUGAAAAAGGGACCUCCUCCCUCCCCCACAUCCUUAAAAAUCAACAGUUUGAUAAGAAAGUGGGAAGGAAGAAACACACCACUGUGUCUAUUGCCCCAAGGCCACAAUAAUUACCUUUCUAAAGCUGGCAUCUAUUAAAACAGCCUCCUUAAGGGAUUGCUAUUUAACCCCUUCUAGUCCAACACAGUAAUCAGGAGGGCUGCUGUGGCCCCAGGGCUGCGGGUGACCAAGGGAGGUUUGAACAUUUCAGCUGCUAACUCCUUUAAUGUGGCUCUUUUUAUAGCUGGCACAUUUGCAGUCAGACCAAACAGCCCUGGUGGAAACGUGGCUUAAAUUACCCUUCACAAUGCACUGGAUCUAAUGAGCCUACUCCCCUAGCUCAUGUAAUAAGUAGGUGUCAGAGCUCUACACUGCAGUCUUUGUGAUCUUUACAGGACAGUUAUCUCAGAACCCUGUAGUGUAGACAGAGACUGGCCCUUUGGUACAGACAGACUAGCCCCGGUUUAACAGAUGAAGGCUUCAGAAGAAGACAUUUUUAAACUAUUCCUCUCCAAAAUACCCAAAAUAUCACAGAAAAAAGGGUGGGGGCAGGGGGGCUCCUCUUAGAAGCAAAUAAGUACCAGACAGAAACAAGUAGGGUAGUGUAAAAAGUCCAGUUUUAUAAUUGUGGAGUCCAAUGGCCUUCUUAACCUCAAAGAUCUAGGACUGUUCACCCCAUUCAAACAGAGAGAAUUGGUGCUUUUCUACUCCUCCUCCCCCAUCUCUUUUGUGUCCCUUGCCUACAUAAAGUUUUUUUCAAGUGCUCUCAAUAAAUUUAAAUGCAUCUCUCUCUUUCUCUUCCUUCCUCUCUCUCAUACUUCUCUCUUUCUCCCUCUCUCUUACUCUCUCCCCUCCUCUCUCUUUUUCCUUCUCUAUCUUCCUCCCUGUCUCUCUCUUCCCUCUUCUCUCUCUUAUUACUUCUCUCUUACUCUCUCUCCUCCUCUCUCUCUCCCCUUCUCUCUGUCUCUCUUUUUCCUUCUUCUUCUUCUCUCUCUCUUCCCUCUCUCUCCCCUUCUCUCUGUCUCUCUUUUUCCUUCUUUUUCUUCUCUCUCUCUUCCUCCCUCUGUCUCUCUCUUAUUCUCUCUUUCUCCCUCUCUGUCUCUUUUACUUUCUCCCCUCCUCUCUCUCUCCCCUCUCUCUGUCUCUCUUUUUCCUUCUCUCUCUCUUCUCUCUCUUUCCCUCUUCUUUUUCAUCUGUCUCUUUCAUUCUUUGUGCCAUGACUCUCUUUUAUUCUCUGUAUCCCCCUCCUCUCUCUUCUCUCGCCCUCCUUUCCUCUCUGUCCUCUCCUUUCUUGAUUCUCUCUCCUCUCUUCUAUGUCUCUUCUCCUCUCUCUGCCUAUCUCAAUGUGUAUCUGUCUCUCUCCCAUACACAAACACACACACACACACACACACACACACACACAUUCAGAAAAGCACACAGAACUCUUCAUACAAAAAGUGGGCCCCAGACAAAGAACAAGAAAACCACCCUGACAAUCAGCUCCCUUGUUGUCGGGCUCAGCAGGGACCCUGAGGAUAGAGAGGAAGGCUGGGCCAGAGAGUCGCCUCUGACCUCUCAGGGCCUGGGGUGAGCCUUAGUGCCUCGGGGGUCACUAAGAGCUUUGUGCCUCCACUCUCUGAGCCAGGGCCAUCCUGAGGAGGCCCUGUCUCCCCAUCAACCUUUGCACAGCUGUGGGCCCCCAAUGUUCCUCAACAAACACCACAUUCAGGGUCCUUCUUUUCAUUUGCAUAAUUUGUUAAUGACUAAAUUAAAUCACUUCUAAAUAGUGAGGGGAGAUUUAACUUUUGCCUCCCUCCACAGAAACACCCCCUCCCCCAGCUAUGAAAACUUCUCUCUUACUGCCUGCCUUAAAAUACGACUUCUGCGUACAGCUGAUUCCACCAGCUGUUUCAUAUCAAGUCUGAACGGCUUCUCUAUGACACAGAAAGCUUAGACAACAGGCAAACCUUUCUGCAUUAAAGGGUAAUCUGAGAAUAAUCUGCCAUAAAACAUCCAGAAGUGCACCAGCUGUAGUUGGAUACUUCCUAUAAAUCACAACACAGACUUCAUGGAUCUUAAAAAUAAUGGCUCUUUUAAAAAAAAUUCAAAUUUCAAUUAAAGAAGGGGCCCACUCCUCGAUCUCUAAGUCAGCAGGGUAAUUUCAUGACACAUUAAUAAACAGCUACUUAGAUUGUGUUUGAGGGUGCUC
rnacentral:lncRNA from 1 species